rnacentral:rRNA from 1 species
GAUGAACGCUGGCGGCGUGCCUAACACAUGCAAGUCGAACGGAGAUUACGGACGGAAGUUUUCGGAUGGAAGACUGUAAUUCUUAGUGGCGGACGGGUGAGUAACGCGUGGGCAACCUGCCCUAUACAGGGGGAUAGCAGCUGGAAACGGCUGGUAAGACCGCAUAAGUCGGCGAGACCGCAUGGUUUUGCCGGGAAAUGAGCAAUCAGGUAUAGGAUGGGCCCGCGUCCGAUUAGCCAGUUGGCAGGGUAAAAGCCUACCAAAGCAACGAUCGGUAGCCGGACUGAGAGGUAGGACGGCCACAUUGGGACUGAGACACGGCCCAAACUCCUACGGGAGGCAGCAGUGGGGGAUAUUGCACAAUGGAGGAAACUCUGAUGCAGCGACGCCGCGUGAGUGAAGAAAUAUUUCGGUAUGUAAAGCUCUAUCAGCAGGGAAGAUGAUGACGGUACCUGACUAAGAAGCCCCGGCUAACUACGUG